ensembl:lncRNA
CUCAGAGCUCUCGUGCUGCACCACAGACAGCAUUUAAAUUCCUCUGGACUUCUUAGCUUGAAAAGUUCUCUGAGAAAUAACCUCACUGCUUAGGGUCUGUGUAAAGUAAAAUUUCAAGCCUUGUGUUGGGAUUCAGGCUGGAAGGCACAGCAGGAGGAGGUCAGUUCACACAUCCAGAGGGGAGACAGAAACUGCAGAUGUGGUAUGAAAUAAGAAGCAACAAUCAGAGAAAAAAUGUGGUUUUGGGAGGACCCACACGACACUCAACACCUUCUGCCAUGUUGGAAUGAUAAUGCUCUCAGGGGACAGAGCUGUGGACCUGGAGCACAUCACGAGCAGCAUCCAGUCCUUUGGAAUCUGAUGGAUUUAUCCUGACAGGGAGAAGGAGACACUGAGCUGAGAGGACAGAGCUGAGAUAUUUCUGAGCUUCUGGGAUACAGGGGCUGGUUAAACUCAGCUCUCCUAAAUCCCUGAACCUAAUCCAUGUUUUGGGAAAUAUGGAGAAAUCUUUUGAAUAUUAAUGAAGUGAUGUUUGGUAAUGGAUGACAGCUCCAAAUACGGGGUUUGAGCACAGGAUUGGGCUUUUUCUCCUGGGAUUUAAACAAUAGUCUCCACAGCCCCUUAAACACAAACCAGGGGAUAACACAUUAAUACUUUAUGUACUUUUAAUUGACUGGGACUGUUACUGAGUUUGCUCUUUGCAAACCCCCAUUAAUAUCCACGUUUCUUGUUUGGAAAUCUGCAAAACUGAAUCCUUCUGCAAAAUUACACUAAGCCAUCUUUCAUCCUGCUACUUAGCAAGGACCUUUGGUCCUUGUUUCUCGCCUCUUUUCCGCAGCUCUAGCACUUGUCAGUUUAUAUUAUGCAUGCCUGUAAAUAGCAGAAAAUUAAAAAAGAUAUUAUCCAGGUAGAAGGUCAUGGAAGUUUUAAAAUGCAGGCUUUGAAUAAUCCCAAAUUAUAAUUGCAGCGUUAAAUUUAGUGUGUGUGUGCACGUAUAAAUGUAUAGUUGUAUAAUGCAUAUACACAUUAUGUAUUUAUUUAUACGAAUAUAUGCAUUUAUACAAACCUUGUAAACAUUUCCUUCCAUUGUUGGAGCAAGGCUCCAACAGUGAAAGUUAUGGCAGGAGAUUUACC